GCUGCGGCGGUUGGGCGGGAUGGGGCGCUGAGGGAGCCCAGGGGGUUGCCUCGGGGCUGCUGGGUGCUGAGACUCGGCCCCCGAGGGGUCGGGUGCGUCCGCGCCGGGAAUAGACAUCUUCAUCAGUGACCUCAGGGAGGGGAUAGAGUGCGCCCUCGGCGAGUUUGCUGGUGGCACCAGGUUUGGAGGAAUGGCUGACACACCAGAAGGCUGUGCUGCCAUUCAGCGAGACCCGGGCUGGUUGGAGAGUUGGGCAGAGAGGAACCUGAUGAGGUUCCGUAAGGAUUGUAAAUCAAGUUGCGUUCUAAUGGGCUGUGAGGAGCAUUGCUGCUUUUGAGGAACGAAGUCUGCCACAUCUAUAUAUCAAAAUACUUGAAGACGUGCUGAUUUACUCUGCAAAGAAUUAGCUUGCUUGCUGAUGCUUAUGUGUCUCUUACACAUCAUGCAGAGCUGCUGGAUGUUCAUAGCAACAACUCCUCAAUAAGGACCCUUCCCUGUGGUUCUGGCAGGGCGUUUCAGCUAUGUCCAGGGGCUGUACAUCCUUCAGCAGUGUUCCUUAAAGUUUCUCGUUUCUCGGGUGGUGCUUUACUGCCAGACAUCAGAUGGAAUUACUCCUUGUUUUGACAAAGCAAGGAUGAAUGAAGAAUUAGCUUAAAAAUGCAAGAUUUAUACUUCCCAUGAACUAAGCUGUGAUGCACAGAUCCACCCUUGCGAAGCUCAGCAGUAAGUGAAUUUGCAGUAGAAAUAUCACACGUGGCUCCUUCAGCUCUUCCUUGCUUAUCCUGAUGAGCUUCUUUUACUGCUCUCUUCCAGACUCCUGUGCUACUCAGAAUUGCCUCUUCCAAGAGAUAGAACAUCUUCAAGCAAGCAGCAACAUGAAGAAUAAUAAAGGGCCUGUACACUCAGCAAGAGUAUUUACACGCUAAAUUGAUACAUGAAUCUACAAGGCUGUCAAUUAUGUUCUAAGCAUGCUUGAAGCAAUGGGCGUGAAACCUGUGCAACCAGCGACUUGUCACCGAAGCCCUUACUCAUUUUGCAAAGAAAGCAAAUAAAAAGAAUUGUUAUUAGUAACAAUGGGUGAGAUUCACUCGAGCUGAUCUGGGAAAAUCUAGAUGACAGUCUUCCAGCCAAACAUUUGCUUGUGUAUCUAAAGCUUCACCCAGUGACACAUGGAACAUUGUCACUGACAACAGGACGCAGCUGUCAGGCAGGUUUUGUGCCUUUUGGCCAGGGCAUGCUUAGCAGGGUCUGAGCCCUAAGAUAAGUGAAAUAAUGCACACGUUCCAGAGUUUGGCUCAAAAAUAUAUAUAUAUAUUCCCAGGAUCCCCUAAAUGCUACCAUACUGGAACGGAUUUUUUUACUGUUGAUUAUAUAUGUUGUAUUAUACAUGACUGUUUAUACUGACCAUCUCAUUCUGAAAAAAAAUUACUUACCAUACAUAUUACUAAAAUUACUACAGUUCCUAUUAUCAAAUCUUUUGAAGCAGUAUUUCUUCCUUUUUUUAAUAAUGCUUUCAUCUCCCUCCCACCCUUGAUCAAGGAAUUGUUUGUAGGACUGCUGCUGGCUGUUUUUAGAGUAAGUCCUUGUUGUUAUUUGGGUGGGGAGGAAAGGAGGACCACACACAGAUCUAAAGCAUACUUUGAUAAGUCAGAUUUCAAUCCAGUUUAUGUUACUGACAUUAUUUUUUUCCCAGCAAACAAUAAAUACUGUUUUGAUUUACUGAUGGGUGUUGCUUCUCAGUGAUAAAAAAAUUUAGUAGCCUAUACUGUCAUCACAACUUCCCUGUAAACAAGAAGGUUAAAAACAUCUCCUUAUCUGCUUGUGUGGCUUCUGUUACCCCUGAGUGCCUGUCAGUCUGAACUAAAGUACCCUCACAAGAACUACAGCACACGAUGACCAUCAAUACCAGGCACAGACAGGAAACUGGGUCCUGCAAGACCCAGCAGCAUGGUGCUGCUCACUGCUUUGUGCAGAGGUGAGGGGCACUGAUUUCCCUGCCUCACCCCUCAGCCUGUGAGGGUCAGUCCUUUAGAGUCUUGGGGGCUACAGCACCAGGGCAGGCCAGUUUUGAACACAGACAAGCUGUCUGUUCUGGUUAGAGUGGAUUGUGUGGAAAAAAGAAUGUAAGUAAGUUGCACAGGUCAAGAAAGAAGAAAAAACUGUCCAAAGGGAAAAAUUAAAAAUAAAAAAGCUGUUCCUGUUUGCAGUAAGAGGUGUGCCUGUGGCUGUUAAGAGAGACCACAGUGCUUGUGGCAGUGGGUGUUGUCAGUGUUUUCCUGCUGUGGUCCAACUCAGAAAAACUCAGAGAAACUGGGGCCAACACAUUGACAAAGGUCCGGUGGUGUCUGCCAGGGUACUGCAGAAGGGAGUAUUUGUGAUGGUAACAGCACAAACACUGAGCUGGUCAGUUAUCGGUGAGCAUCUUCAGUCACAGGAAAAUGUAAAAUUAGCACAAAUUGUUAUCAGUAUUUUUUUUUUUUGUCCAUCAGCAUAACAUUUCUCUUGUUCAAGUUCAUCUGUAAGACAACUGUUUUCCAUCAGCUAAUGUGAAGAUAGGAUCCUAAUUUCACAGGACUGCUGUUAUUAAACAUGCUGUAGUUACGUAAAGCCCCAUGCCAUCUCUAUGCUGCUGGUGCCCUUUCCUCUGACCAGCACCUUGUACCUGACAGAACCUGGCAGCGCUGAUGCAGCCCAGCCUUUUCUCUGCUGCCCCUUCUCUAGGGGAUUCAUGUCAUUCUUCUGGGUUUUCUAAUUUGGGCUCCAAAAUUCACUUUCUGAGAUACAGUUGCCCUCUUUCCAAACAAUAUGUUUUACAAUGACAAUCCACCACAGCAAAACAUCCACUAUCCCUAAAGGAACGGAGAUUUCUCCAUUAACAUUCCCCUAACACUCUUAUGAUAAUCAUCAGCUAUGCACCUGGCAAUAACUGCAAACCACAACCAUGCAGCAUUCUGAGCGUUGAGAAGAUCAACACAUGUAUUCAUGGCAGAUUAGAGGAAUAAAAGGUUUGCAUGCUUUGUGCAGAUUGGGAUGCAUAGCUGCAUGGUGUGGAAAGGAUAAAGUAAUUUUCA